rnacentral:rRNA from 1 species
CAGUUCGGUCCAUAUCCGGUACAAGCGCAAGAGUGUUGAGAGGAGCUCUCCCUAGUACGAGAGGACCGGGAGGGACUGACCGCUGGUGUACCUGUUAUCGUGCCAACGGUAAACGCAGGGUAGCCAUGUCGGGAGUGGAUAACCGCUGAAAGCAUCUAAGUGGGAAGCCCACCUCAAGAUGAGCACUCUCACCGAAAGGGUAAGGCCACGGGAAGACUACCCGUUGAUAGGCUCCAGGUGGAAGCGCAGCAAUGCGUGCAGCCGAGGAGUACUAAUAGGCCGAGGGCUUGACUUACAA